rnacentral:rRNA from 1 species
AUUGAACGCUGGCGGCAGGCCUAACACAUGCAAGUCGAGCGGAUGAAGGGAGCUUGCUCCUGGAUUCAGCGGCGGACGGGUGAGUAAUGCCUAGGAAUCUGCCUGGUAGUGGGGGAUAACGUCCGGAAACGGGCGCUAAUACCGCAUACGUCCUGAGGGAGAAAGGGGGGGAUCUUCGGACCUCACGCUAUCAGAUGAGCCUAGGUCGGAUUAGCUAGUUGGUGGGGUAAAGGCCUACCAAAGCGACGAUCCGUAACUGGUCUGAGAGGAUGAUCAGUCACACUGGAACUGAGACACGGUCCAGACUCCUACGGGAGGCAGCAGUGGGGAAUAUUGCGCAAUGGGCGAAAGCCUGAUGCAGCCACGCCGCGUGUGUGAAGAAGGUCUUCGGAUUGUAAAGCUCUUUAAGUUGGGAGGAAGAAAAGUAAAUUAAUACAUGGCUGUUUUGACGUUACCAACAGAGUAAGCCACGGCUAACUUCGUG